ACGUAGGUGGCGAGCGUUAUCCGGAUUUACUGGGUGUAAAGGGCGUGUAGGCGGUUUUGUAAGUCGGAUGUGAAAUUCCCAGGCUUAACUUGGGAGCUGCAUCCGAAACUACAGAACUUGAGUACUGGAGAGGAUAGUGGAAUUCCUAGUGUAGCGGUAAAAUGCGUAGAUAUUAGGAGGAACAUCAGUGGCGAAGGCGACUAUCUGGACAGUAACUGACGCUGAUGCGCGAAAGCGUGGGGAGCAAACAG
rnacentral:rRNA from 1 species